CGUGUAGGCGGCUUUGCAAGUCCGUUGUGAAAACUCGAAGCUCAACCUCGAGACGCCGGUGGGAACUGCAAAGCUAGAGUCCGGAAGAGGAGAGUGGAAUUCCUGGUGUAGCGGUGAAAUGCGCAGAUAUCAGGAAGAACACCCGUGGCGAAGGCGGCUCUCUGGGACGGUACUGACGCUGAGACGCGAAAGCGUGGGGAGCGAACA
rnacentral:rRNA from 1 species